GGCUAAUUAUAUAAUGUCUGCAAAACGUUUUUUAGUUACCGGCUAUUAGCUG
rnacentral:tRNA from 2 species